AAGUCGUAACAAGGUCUCCGUUGGUGAACCAGCGGAGGGAUCAUUACAGAGUCAACAACUCACCAAACCAUUGUGAACCCUACCUAGCCGUUGCUUCGGCGGGAGGCCCCCCGUGUCCCCUGUAAUGGGUGGCCGUGGGACGCCCCUAGACCCCCCGCGGUGCCCGCCGAAGGAAUCCGAAACCCUGUCAGCACAUGGCCUCUCUGAGUAUUUACUGAAUAAGUCAAAACUUUCAACAACGGAUCUCUUGGUUCUG
rnacentral:misc_RNA from 1 species